rnacentral:pre_miRNA from 1 species
CCAAUCCGUCGCCCCGGCGGAGGCCGGGGCCGCUAUCGGUUGCUGCCCUCAGGCCGUCGAACGAGCUGGUGGUGGCCCCUGCCUUCGCCGGGGCGACGACUAUC